rnacentral:tRNA from 1 species
GCCCAAGGCUCAGUUGGCAGAGCCUUGGGUUAGUAUUCCAAAGAUCGUAGGUUCGAUUCCCAUCGUGGGCA